GGUCUGAAGAAAGCUAAAUCACUUGGUAGAGCGUUUAACUCGUAAUCUAAGGGUUGCUGGUUCGACAUCAACCCAGGCCAGACCA